GGCUCAGGAUGAACGCUAGCGGCAGGCUUAAUACAUGCAAGUCGUGGAGCAGCAUGAGUAGCAAUACUUGAUGGCGACCGGCAAACGGGUGAGGAACACGUACACAACCUUCCUUCAAGCGGGGAAUAGCCCAGAGAAAUUUGGAUUAAUACCCAUAAUAUAUUUGAUAAGGCAUCUUAUUAAUAUUAAAGCUUCGGCACUUGAUGAUGGGUGUGCGGCUGAUUAGAUAGUUGGCGGGUAACGGCCCACCAAGUCUACGAUCAGUAGCUGAUGUGAGAGCAUGAUCAGCCACACGGGCACUGAGACACGGGCCCGACUCCUACGGGAGGCAGCAGUAAGGAAUAUUGGACAAUGGACGAAAGUCUGAUCCAGCCAUGCCGCGUGAAGGAUUAAGGUCCUCUGGAUUGUAAACUUCUUUUAUAUGGGACGAAAAAAGGGCAUUCUUGUUCACUUGACGGUACCAUAUGAAUAAGCACCGGCUAACUCCGUG
rnacentral:rRNA from 1 species